rnacentral:rRNA from 1 species
CAUGCCUUACACAUGCAAGUCGAACGGCAGCACGGGUGCUUGCACCUGGUGGCGAGUGGCGAACGGGUGAGUAACGCGUGGGAACGUGCCCUUCAGUUCGGGAUAACCCAGGGAAACUUGGGCUAAUACCGGAUACGUGCGAGAGCAGAAAGAUUUAUCGCUGAAGGAUCGGCCCGCGUCUGAUUAGCUAGUUGGUGGGGUAAUGGCCCACCAAGGCGACGAUCAGUAGCUGGUCUGAGAGGAUGAUCAGCCACAUUGGGACUGAGACACGGCCCAAACUCCUACGGGAGGCAGCAGUGGGGAAUAUUGGACAAUGGGCGCAAGCCUGAUUCAGCCAUACCGCGUGAGUGAUGAAGGCCUUAGGGUUGUAAAGCUCUUUCGUCCGGGACGAUAAUGACGGUACCGGAAGAAGAAGCCCCGGCUAACUUCGUGCCAGCCGCCGCGGUAA